rnacentral:tRNA from 1 species
GGUCCGGUGGUGCAGUGGUUAGCGUGUAGCCUCUGAACCCCAGUAUGGCCUGGGUUCAAUCCCAGACGGACCC